ACCAUCUUUUCUAUAUAAAUUUGGAUCCAUAUCUGGUUGAGUCCUAACAUUUGGAUCUAUAUUUGGUUCAGUCCUACUCGUAACAAUACGGAUCAGCAGCAUGUGCAUAGUAUUUCAAUUCCAAAGUGCGAUCUGGUAGAAUUCGGGAAGAUGUGAUACCUAUCCAAAAAAACUAUCAAACAGGAUUUGCGAAGAUGUGAUCAUCAAGGCCACUGAAGGAUCUUUAUCUUUUGGCAGUUCUUUUGCUUUGAGUCCAAAUAGGAUAGGGAUUAAUUCUAAUUGAGCCUAUGAGUAACUUCAAGCACAUGAGAUGAUCCAUAAGCAGGAUACAUUUAACCAAAUCAAAUUGGAAAUUUGGGAUAUCAUCUUGGAAUUACUCCAUUAAAUGGUGUAGGGAAACAUUCGUUGAGUUGCAGCCCUAAUGCAAAUGUACUUUUAUUGGAACAAUGCAUUGUUAACAUUUUGAACGUACCCUCCUGCUGUGGGAUGCAUAGGUGGACUGUUGGUAAGAAAUUGGAAUGAGGGUUAUGUUGUUAAUGAAGGGAUGUGCCUCAUAUCAACAAAGGUUUGGAGAUUUAACAUCUUGUGGAAGAUCACAUGAUAUCACUGAUUCACUGGCGUAUUUUCUGAGGUUGGAUAGUGAACAACUUAUGAAAAAUCACAUUAUAUCCUUCGUAGACCGGCCCCUUUGGUGGUGUAGUUCAACGUACAAAAAUGAAGGGUUGAUUUCAGGGGAAAUUAGAAACUAUUCUUCUCUUGAGGUUUCUCUGCAUUUAUUUGACAUGGAUGAUCAAUAGUGGUGCUG